GGGGCGGGGCCACAGGGGCCGAGGCCCCUCCUCCAAUUUGAUUGGCCCCUGAACGGCCCCUGUUCUGACAAUCACCUGGCGAGAAAACCAGAAGUGGGGAAUUUUUAAAUGGUCACUGCAGUUCCACCUCCAAACUGUUGGUGGCAGUGCGCCGAUUGCGUCAAUACAACUGAAUAGUCUUCCUUGAAAAAAAUCUAGUGCCUCCUUAAAAAUCUAGUUCUACGUGCCUCCUUAAAAAAUCUUUGUGAUGAACGGCUACCACUCCCCUUCCACGCGAAUCAAAGAGGAGCAACAAUUCUGUAAACUGAAUGCCAGCCAGCAACGAGAUGGAAGUUUAACAAGCUGACUUUGUUAUUUGACCUGUCCCAGUGCAGCAGAGGAGCCAGUGAAGAACAGCUGUGCUGUGCGCCACCUGGACCUGAUGACAUUUUGACGUCCAGAGCAUCCUGCCAUUCUGUAUGCACGUAAGAUCCUGACAAGAAAUUGUGCAACUUAUGCAAAAGUUAAAAAACAAGCUGCCUUAGUCAGUGAUUUCACACUAUCCACAAUCACAAGACAUAAGCGGUGAACCUUACAAUGUAUAUAAUAUGCACAUUUUGCCACAUCCUGAAUUUGUGUGCAAACGCAAGAGUGCUUUCCAGUCAUAACAGCAUUUCUGCCAUAGCCAUGACCGACUAGGUUGUUAUGAUACUCCAGCCCAUGCUUUUCAAAGCAUUUUACUACUACUUAGUCCUGUGUCAUCCAUAAUAACACUGCUAUCUGCUCCUAUCUAUAUGUUGUUGAUUAUGUUUGAUGUGUCAUUCAUGCACAUAGAUUGAAUAAAAAAAUAAGUAUUGCAAAUUAUACUGAUUCAUAAUGUUUUAUUUAAGUUUGAAAAGGAAUAGGCCUGCUGAAUUAUUCAUUUGUGUAUUUGGAUAGUAGCGUAGAAGUCGAUGGUCUUUCCUGUCAGCAUACUGUAGAAAAGUACGUUUGAAAAAUGAGCAAUAUGUAGGUAUGAUGUAUUAGAGUAUGCAAUACACUCAACAAAAUCUGCAAGGCUGGUAGCCUAUUAACAAUGAGGCUAUGAUGGGUAAUUUAAUUCAUUAAGACUAUGAUGUUUUCUUGCCACUUGCUGGAUAAUGUGUAUUGCCUUGUCGCCAAUUGAUGUUUAUCUAAGCCGCGUCAUCACUGGAUAUCAGAUGGUGGUGACCCUGUUGGCCCCUGAAGGUUACAUUUGGCCCCAUGGUGGCCCCUGUUCCUAA